AUUAUUAAUUUUAGCUGAUGGUCUGAAGUAAAAAUUACAAAUAUUCAUUCACCAAACAUAAAACUGUGCUUUGGAAAUUUAUCAAACAGAAGUGAAAAUAGUAUUUGUGUUUGGCGAACAAACCUUGCAGCAAAAGCGCGUGUACGCAUGCGCGUGAGAGUCGUUUGUUGGAUAAGGUUUAAAUUCCAGCGCAGCAAUGGCAGAGCUCCUCCGAAACAUCAUAUUCAGGCGAUUUCCCUCAUCAAAGAUAUGGGCCAUUGGAAAACCACAGAGAUGCAAUGAAGAUGGGAAUCCUUGUUAGCAUCAGGAGCAUGAUGAAGUUUAAGAGCCCUGUCAACUGUGCUGAAUGUCUGCUGUCCUGGAAGAGGAGAUGAUGGUGCUCGACAAUAGGAGACUUUAUCAAUGCAUCUUCUGUGCUUUUGGAUUAUAGUAUCUACUCAACCUGGAAUACGAUGACUAAAUAGGUUCACAUGGUAAAUAUUUGAAACAGAUGCAGCUUUAUGUGCUUGAAGUUCCUCUUGAAGAUUUUUUUUUUACUUUUCUUGAAACUUUUGUGAGUUUUUUUCUGUUCUGGAAUCAUCUGUGUCAACUGGGUAAAGGAACCCAUUGUUUAGAUUUGAUGGUGCUUUUGACGAUUUUAAUAUUCGUUUAUUAAUUUUCCUUCAGCUCAGUCCCCUGUUUAUCAGGGGGAGCCACAGCGGAAUGAACCGUUCAUUGUUUAUAUGCAAAUAUAUUAGAUGUUUAAUGUUAAUGAAUGGGUUUAACCAUUAAAAAUGUGAUUUCAUAAGUUCAGAUUAUCUUUUGUAGAAUGAAAGUAUCCAGGUGACAACACUAAACAAUGGUUAAAGUAACCGCACAAAAAUACUCACAUUUUAUGCUGUUUUUAUUUUUUUAUUUUAUAUAUUUUUGCAGAUAUUUGGGAUAUAUAUUAAGUACACUUUAGCUCUAUGUAUUGACCUUAUUCCUCACUUCUUUUUGGCUGGAGAUUUCCGCUCUCAUUCACUUCCAUUGAUUUUUAGACGUUAAAAACUGUUUGUUAUGAUGCUUGAUGUUGCAAACUGAUAUUUUCUUAAUAUAUUAUUCUGCUUUGUCUGUAGAGUCAUAAACACACUAGUUUGUAGAGCAAGUAGUUUGUCUGUUUUCUGCUGUUUAAUAUUCCUAGUCAUUUCUCCCACAGGGCACUGAAUCAGAUGUUCUGAAACAAAUCGGAAAAACUUCCGCCUUAAAGAAUGAGGUCAAUAAUAGGAGAAAUAAAAUGCUGGAAUUUAUAGGGUAUACUUUGUUGAAAUGUGUAAUGUAUUUGUUAUUCUAAAGUACUUUUACAAUAGCGUCUCUUUAAUGAAAAUAAAUAAAUAAAUAAAUAAAU